CAGUGCGAUGAGUCAAGGUCGGCCUCUGUUCAUCGUUUCUCUGCUAAUUUUCGCGGCACUUUUGCUCCUUUGUGAAACUCGCCGAGAAGCAGAACAACGCCAGUAUCUUCUUACAAUGAAACUCAAACUCGAGUGGCGCAAAAACAAUCGCUCUACAAUCGACGCCAAAAUCAAAAUGCAACCUUCAGUCGAAGGUUUCAGGGAAAUUGCGCUGCCAGAGCGUAAUGGGAUUGACGCUCCAAUCAGGGAAUGUCCACCUGGACACCGAAUUGACAGAGGAAGUUGCAGGAAAAUAUUUGAAACUGAAGGAAAUUGAACUAAUUGAUCCGUGCUUUUGAAUUUGGCGCUGCUGGAGGCAAUUUAAUUUAAGAACACAAUAUUGUCUAGAUUCGAAGGAUCUCAUCUGCUUGUGAAAACUAAAUAAAUUGGAUUUUUAACAUAAA